CCUACGGGAGGCAGCAGUGGGGAAUAUUGGGUAAUGGGCGCAAGCCUGACCCAGCAACGCCGCGUGAAGGACGACGGCUUUCGGGUUGUAAACUUCUUUUCUCAGGGACGAAGAAAGUGACGGUACCUGAGGAAUAAGCCACGGCUAACUACGUGCCAGCAGCGGCGGUAAUACGUAGGUGGCAAGCGUUAUCCGGAUUUACUGGGUGUAAAGGGCGUGUGGGUUGGAAAGCAAGUCAGAUGUGAAAACCAUGGGCUCAACCUGGGGCCUGCAUUUGAAACUGUAUGUCUAGAGUACUGGUGAGGCAGACGGAAUGUCUAGUGUAGCGGUGAAAUGCGUAGAUAUUAGGAGGAACACCAGUGGCGAAGGCGGUCUGCUGGACAGCAACUGACGCUGAGGCGCGAAAGCGUGGGGAGCAAACAGGAUUAGAUACCCGAGUAGUC
rnacentral:rRNA from 1 species